rnacentral:rRNA from 1 species
UACGUAGGGUGCGAGCGUUGUCCGGAAUUAUUGGGCGUAAAGAGCUCGUAGGCGGUCUGUCGCGUCGAUCGUGAAAACUUGGGGCUUAACCCUGAGCUUGCGGUCGAUACGGGCAUGACUGGAGUUCGGCAGGGGAGACUGGAAUUCCUGGUGUAGCGGUGAAAUGCGCAGAUAUCAGGAGGAACACCGGUGGCGAAGGCGAGUCUCUGGGCCGAUACUGACGCUGAGGAGCGAAAGCGUGGGGAGCGAACAGG